rnacentral:tRNA from 1 species
GGAUUGUGGCUCAGCGGUAGAGCGCUUGCCUAGCAUGUGUGAGGCCCUGGGUUCCAUCCUCAGCACCA